UACGAAGGGGGCUAGCGUUGCUCGGAAUCACUGGGCGUAAAGCGCACGUAGGCGGCUUUUUUAAGUCAGGGGUGAAAUCCUGGAGCUCAACUCCAGAACUGCCUUUGAUACUGAGAAGCUUGAGUCCGGGAGAGGUGAGUGGAACUGCGAGUGUAGAGGUGAAAUUCGUAGAUAUUAGGAAGAACACCAGUGGCGAAGGCGGCUCACUGGCCCGGUACUGACGCUCAGGUGCGAAAGCGUGGGGAGCAAAC
rnacentral:rRNA from 1 species